rnacentral:snoRNA from 13 species
AGGCUGUGAUGAUGAAAAUUAUAUACCAUCAAACUAUGAGAGCUCAAAAUGUGAGCUUGUUGAUGCCAUCUCUUAUUCUCUGAGCCC